UUAUCUCUGUAGAGUCUGCAUAUCAAUAAGCGGAGGAAAAGAAACUAACUAGGAUUCCCUCUAGUAACGGCGAGUGAAGCGGGAAGAGCUCAAAUUUGAAAUCUUAAAGGGUUUCUACCUUUGACGAAUUGUAGUUUAAAGAAGUGUUUUCUGUUGGAAGUUUCGGUAAAAGUUCUUUGGAAUAGGACAUCAUAGAGGGUGAGAAUCCCGUAUUUGACCAUUAUUUCCAGCUUUGUGAUACACUUUCAAAGAGUCGGAUUGUUUGGGAAUGCAGUCCAAAAUGGGUGGUAAAUUUCAUCUAAAGCUAAAUACUGGCGAGAGACCGAUAGCGAACAAGUACCGUGAGGGAAAGAUGAAAAGAACUUUGAAAAGAGAGUUAAACAGUACGUGAAAUUGUCAAAAGGGAAGCGUUUGACACCAGUGUUGUUUUCUCGAAAAUCAAUUAAAAAAGGCAGGAUUUUGUGUUGUAUUGACUUUAUCAGCUUUCUGCACUCUUUUCUUGUCUUUUUUAAUGCACUUUUCGUUUAACAAGUCAACAUCAAUUUCUUUUGUUGUAAAAGGGUCAUUGGAAGGUGGCUUUCUUUUCGGAGAAAGUGUUUAUAGCCCUAUAGGCCUUCUAGCAAUCGGAGAGAUUGAGGUCUGCAGCGUAGAUCCUUCGGGGUUAGAUACAUCUUGUGCUAAGUUAUAGCCUUUUCAUAGACAACUUGUUGACUAUGAUUUAGUCAUGUCGCUUACUCGCUUAGUGCUAUUUUACCUACGCUUAGGAUGUUGAAGAUGUAGCACAUCAU
rnacentral:rRNA from 1 species